rnacentral:rRNA from 1 species
AUUGAACGCUGGCGGUAGGCCUAACACAUGCAAGUCGAACGAUGACUCACUAGCUUGCUGGUGAUGCUUAGUGGCGGACGGGGGAGUAACAUUUAGGAAUCUACAUAGAAGUGGGGGUUAGCUCGGGCGAAGGCGAAUUAAUACUGCUAACGAAUAACGGGUGCAAGGGGGAGCAAGGGAUCGCUAUAAGUUGAGCCUAAGUCGGAUUAGCUAGUUGGUGGGGUAAAGGCCCACCAAGGCGACGAUCUGUAACUGGUCUGAGAGGAUGAUCAGUCACACCGGAACUGAGACACGGUCCAGACUCCUACGGGAGGCAGCAGUGGGGAAUAUUGGACAAUGGGCGCAAGCCUGAUCCAGCCAUGCCGCGUGUGUGAAGAAGGCCUUCUGGUUGUAAAGCACUUUUAUCAGGAAAGAAAAGCUGAUGGUUAAUACCCAGUAGAUUUGACGUUACCUAAAGAAUAAGCACCGGCUAACUCCGUG